rnacentral:rRNA from 1 species
CUCAACCGGGGAAUUGCGGGGCGAACUGCGCAUCUUGAGGCAGGUAGAGGCCGUCGGAACGCUCGGUGGAGCGGUGAAAUGCAUAGAUAUCGAGCGGAACGCCAAAGGAGGAAUCAGGCGGCUGGGCCUGUCCUGACGCUCAGGCACGAAAGCGUGGGGAGCGAACGGGAUUAGAUACCCCGGUAGUCCACGCCCUAAACGUUGCGCACUAGAUCGAGGGCGUUUUGACGCGUUCUCGGUCGAAGAGAAAUCGUUAAGUGCGCCGCCUGGGGAGUACGGUCGCAAGGCUAAAACUCAAAGGAAUUGACGGGGGCUCACACAAGCGGUGGAGCAUGUUGCUUAAUUCGAAGCAACGCGAAGAACCUUAUCCUGGGCUUGACAUGCGCGGAUUAGUCCGCCGAGAGGCGGGCGACGCCCUUCGGGGUGGAACG